AUUGAACGCUGGCGGCAGGCUUAACACAUGCAAGUCGAGCGGGGUGAUGGUGCUUGCACUAUCACUUAGCGGCGGACGGGUGAGUAAUGCUUAGGAAUCUGCCUAUUAGUGGGGGACAACAUCUCGAAAGGGAUGCUAAUACCGCAUACGCCCUACGGGAGAAAGCAGGGGAUCACUUGUGACCUUGCGCUAAUAGAUGAGCCUAAGUCGGAUUAGCUAGUUGGUGGGGUAAAGGCCUACCAAGGCGACGAUCCGUAGCGGGUCUGAGAGGAUGAUCCGCCACACUGGGACUGAGACACGGCCCAGACUCCUACGGGAGGCAGCAGUGGGGAAUAUUGGACAAUGGGGGGAACCCUGAUCCAGCCAUGCCGCGUGUGUGAAGAAGGCCUUAUGGUUGUAAAGCACUUUAAGCGAGGAGGAGGCUCUUUUGGUUAAUACCCAAGAUGAGUGGACGUUACUCGCAGAAUAAGCACCGGCUAUCUCUGUGCCAGCAGCCGCCGUAAAAC
rnacentral:rRNA from 1 species